GAAAAAGCAGGGUUCAAUUGUGUUUGUCAAUUGGUCUCUCAUAAACUCCAGGAAAAUCAUGUGCAUUGUUAUUGGGUGAACCUAUGUCGAUUUCACAAUGAUAAAAGGUUCAGUAAAUGAUGAAACAUAA